rnacentral:rRNA from 1 species
UACAGAGGGUGCGAGCGUUAUUCGGAUUUACUGGGCGUAAAGGGCGCGUAGGCGGUCGAUUAAGUUAGAUGUGAAAUCCCUGGGCUUAACCUAGGAACUGCGUCUAAUACUGGUUUACUAGAGUAUUGUAGAGGGUAGUGGAAUUUCCGGUGUAGCGGUGAAAUGCGUAGAGAUCGGAAGGAACACCUGUGGCGAAAGCGGCUCACUGGACCAUUACUGACGCUGAGGCACGAAAGCUAGGGGAGCAAACAGG